rnacentral:rRNA from 1 species
CCUACGGGGGGCAGCAGUGAGGAAUAUUGGUCAAUGGCCGGAAGGCUGAACCAGCCAUGCCGCGUGAAGGUCAGUGCCCUAUGGGCGUUAAACUUCUUUUGUGCGGGAGCAAUAAUGGUCACGUGUGGCCAGACGAGAGUACCGUACGAAUAAGCAUCGGCUAACUCCGUGCCAGCAGCCGCGGUAAUACGGGGGAUGCAAGCGUUAUCCGGAUUUAUUGGGUUUAAAGGGUGCGUAGGCUGGGAGGUAAGUCAGCGGUGAAAUGCCCCCGCUCAACGGGGUGAAGUGCCAUUGAUACUGUCUGGCUGGAAGGUGGAUGCGGUGGGAGGAAUGUGUGGUGUAGCGGUGAAAUGCAUAGAUAUCACACAGAACACCGAUUGCGAAGGCAUCUCACGAAUCCGCGAUUGACGCUGAUGCACGAAAGCGUGGGUAUCAAACAGGAUUAGAUACCCCAGUAGUC